GACAGAGGGUGCAAACGUUGCUCGGAAUUACUGGGCGUAAAGCGCGUGUAGGCGGGAAGAUAAGUCGGGCGUGAAAUCCCUGGGCUCAACCUAGGAACUGGAUCCGAAACUGCCUUUCUGGAGUGAUGGAGAGGAGAGCGGAAUUCCCGGUGUAGAGGUGAAAUUCGUAGAUAUCGGGAGGAACACCAGUGGCGAAGGCGGCUCUCUGGCCAUCAACUGACGCUGAGACGCGAAAGCGUGGGGAGCAAACAGG
rnacentral:rRNA from 1 species